rnacentral:rRNA from 1 species
AAUGCAUAGGUAAUUUGCCUUGAAGGUGGGGAUACGCCCGGAGAAAUCCGGAUUAAUACCGCAUAUGCUCUACGGAGCAAAGUGGGCCUCUGAUUUAAGCUCACGCUUUGAGAUAAGCCUAUGUCGGAUUAGCUAGUUGGUGGGGUAAAAGCCUACCAAGGCGACGAUCCGUAGCUGGUUUGAGAGGAUGAUCAGCCACACUGGGACUGAGACACGGCCCAG